GCAUUUCAAUUUUAAAAAAGUUGCCGGAGCAUCAACACUAAAAUUAGAUGCAUAUACUUUUGGGAAUACAGGAACAUAAAGACAAGGAAAGACUCAGUAAAGUACUUGUGUUGCCUUUCCCAACAUCAUAUUUUCUUGGAGGUUACAACUACAUAUUCUUUCUCUUAUAGUACAUAAAGGACAGCUGCUUUGUUUUUAGCCUCAUUGGUUACAGAUACUUAAAUCAGCCAAAAGAUCAGAAAAUCAAACUGUUGGAACAUUAAUGUAAAAUGUGGUUGGAUCUUAUCUUUCGUGUAUGGAUUGAGAAUGCAAUUGACAACAACCAGACAUAAGAUAUGGAACAUUGGUAGAAGAUUGUCUCAUUAUCAAACUGCUAAUGUGAGUGGGUAACCAUAACAUAUGCAGUAGCUUUUGCUUGAGCUAUUAAAGGCUAGGUAGAAGAUUGUCUCAUUAUCAAACUGCCAACAUGAGUAGGUAACCAUAACAUAUGCAGUAGCUUUUGCUUGAGCUAUUUAAGGCUCGUACAAAUAUCGAUAAAGAAGCCACGGUGAUACAAUGAUAUCAAAACUGGCGGCUAUACAUAUUUGUUGAUUGAAUCGCUACAAAUUACUAAACUUAACAUAUUUGGAAUGAUUAAAACAAUUUAACGUUUGGCAAUGACUUGGGGUUCCCAGGUAAUGAUUUGUAAAGUUCAACCAAGUAAUAAUUCUAAAAGAACAAAAACAUCAGGUGGUAUUUCACAUGGCCACCUAAAAAUAUAUUACAACGACACCGUCUCUACUGUCCGGUAACAUUAAAACACAAAACAACUCUAAACUAGCACAAGAAGAGAUAUAAUCUCGCUUGUGGAAGACGUCUCAUCAAGUCACAUAAUUUUACCUCAAGACCUUUUCAAGUUUUGAGUCAACACUUCUUAAAGUCAAU
rnacentral:lncRNA from 1 species